rnacentral:rRNA from 1 species
UACGUAGGUGGCAAGCGUUGUCCGGAUUUAUUGGGUUUAAAGGGUGCGUAGGCGGCUUUGUAAGUCAGUGGUGAAAUAUGGCAGCUCAACUGUCAGUGUGCCAUUGAUACUGCAGAGCUUGAGUACAGAUGAGGUAGGCGGAAUUGGCGGUGUAGCGGUGAAAUGCUUAGAUAUCGUCAAGAACACCUAUAGCGAAGGCAGCUUACUAGGCUGUAACUGACGCUGAGGCACGAAAGUGUGGGGAUCAAACAGG